UACGUAGGGUGCAAGCGUUGUCCGGAAUUAUUGGGCGUAAAGAGCUCGUAGGCGGUUUGUCGCGUCUGCUGUGAAAACUCGGGGCUUAACCCCGGGCCUGCAGUGGGUACGGGCAGACUAGAGUGCGGUAGGGGGAGACUGGAAUUCCUGGUGUAGCGGUGAAAUGCGCAGAUAUCAGGAGGAACACCGGUGGCGAAGGCGGUUCUCUGGGCCUGUUCUGACGCUGAGGAGCGAAAGCGUGGGGGAGCGAACAGG
rnacentral:rRNA from 1 species